AGGUUUUGGGAGUCGGAUACCGUUCUGCAGCUCGGAGGCGUUAAGCAGUCAUCUACUCGUUCCCACAAUCUCCUUCCGCACAAACCCUUUAAAGGCUGUCUCCGCAACGUCAUUCUUAAUAAGCAGGUGUAUGAUCUAGCAGCCCCACUGGAGGCAGUUAAUAGCUCCCCAGGCUGUGCGAGGAAGGGUACAGCUUGCUCAUCACCUGCACCCUGCGACUUUCCUUGCGUCAGUGACCCCCAGCUGUGAUUGCCCACCCGCUCACCAGGACUGCGGAAAGGAUGUCCACAAACACUUCUUCCAUCCUGGAGGCCACAUCCGGUACCUGCUCCCUCAUUCUCUCCAUCCGCAGCAGACACAUUUUCAGGCAACGUUAAGAACAUACAACGCCGAC